GAUGAAGAACGCAGCGAAAUGCGAUAAGUAGUGUGAAUUGCAGCAUUCAGUGAAUCAUCGAAUCUUUGAACGCACAUUGCGCCCUUUGGUAUUCCAAAGGGCAUGCCUGUUCGAGCGUCAUUUGUACCCUCAAGCUUUGCUUGGUGUUGGGCGUCUUGUCUCUAGCUUUGCUGGAGACUCGCCUUAAAGUAAUUGGCAGCCGGCCUACUGGUUUCGGAGCGCAGCACAAGUCGCACUCUCUAUCAGCAAAGGUCUAGCAUCCAUUAAGCCUUUUUUUCAACUUUUGACCUCGGAUCAGGUAGGGAUACCCGCUGAACUUAAGCAUAUCAAUAAGCGGAGGA
rnacentral:misc_RNA from 1 species